GGACAAGCAGACAGCUCCCGUGAGCAAGCAGACAUGUGUGGCUGUGGGAUCAGAUGAAGAAUUGCACUUUGGCUCAGCUUCCCAUGUUCACUACCCAGGAACAAAUUCCUCAGGAUCCUGAAAGAGAUGGAAAGCUAAAUUUUCCAGUGAAUUUCCCACAAAGUUGUCACUUCACCAGCUGAGCCAGAACCACUGCUACCGCCACCAACACAGCCUCUGUACAGCCACAGCCAUGGCCACAUCCAGCUUCUGCCACAGAACUGAACAUUUGUCAGCCUGACAACUCCAGGAACCAGCUCACUCCAGUUAAGGGAACUGAGUCACUUUGGGUGGGAAGGUGAUACAAAGAGAGAGAAGAAAAAUGAAUGAGUACCUGAUCAUCUCCAGAAAAGGGGUAAGGAACAAGUGCUAACAGAAACUCACAACGGUCUGGAGAACCGACCUUUGAUUGCUCAAGAGAGCUUGUGACUAACAUCCCAGAGACAGAUUCCAGAGGGAGGAGAAGAAGAAUCCUGAAAUGAAGCUGCCAGGACCUGCUGGAGUCCUGUCUCAGGGAUGACCUAGGAGGACCAGGUCAGCACCCCAGGAAACUCCGGCUCUGAACACACUCUCGAGUACACGCUAUUCCAGGCAUUAAUCCUUCUAGACAAGUCCUGAGAUACCAAGAGAUACCAGAAAUGAAAAUGUGCCCUGCUUAGUGACUGCCUGUUCGUGUUUGGCUUACAGAGGCAUCAUGGGGACUUGAGUGGGACAAGCUGGAAUGCUGGUUUUACCUGGUACACUGUCCGGUCAAUUAGUCAGGGGGCAAGAAAACUUUUCCUGAGCCAGAAAGCAGAGCUUCGAGACUCAGCUUUGUCACCUUGCUGGGUCUCAGUUUCUUCACCUGUAAAUGAUGGGAUGGUACUGGAUGACAUGCCUUCCCCACUUCUCCGACGGGCAGUCAAUCACUAAGAACUGACAAUUACGCCUCCUGAUUGUAUUCAAAGCCAGACACCUUCUCUCCACCACACUGCAUGGCCUCCAUUCAGCCCCAUCAUUUCCCACCUGCAUCGCUGCAUCUCCUAACCGGUCUCACUACCUUCACUCUCCUCCCCUCUUCAUGCUGGGCCAGUUGUUUUUCUGAAAUUCAAUUCUUGAAUGUUUGACCCUCUAAGAGGCCCUGCCCAACUUUAUCUGCCAUAAGGCUCUACGGUGGGGUCUCUGUCUGCCCUGCAGCCUUAUUUUCUCCCCCAGCGCUCUCCCCUGCUUCACAUCCUCACGCACUCCGGGUACCCAACGCCGAGAGGUGGACCUCUCCCCCACCCGCGUAUAUGCUGUUGUGCCCUUGGAUGGGCACUCACUCAUAAACCGCCACUGGCCUGCAAUGAAGCAGAAAAUGAUUGAAUCACAGUGAAUAAAUGGGGAAGAAGAAAAAUUAAGAGUAAGCGCUUGGAAACUUUUAUAACUACCUGACAGCAAUUUUAUGUCUGUUGAAUCUAAUAAUAAAAAUCUGGGCUCCUA